UAGCACGUGGUAUUUCCAUGGCCACCCUCCCAAGUUCUGACCGCACCCGACGCUGCUCAACUGCGGUGAUCAGACGAGAACCUAUGCUUUCAGCAUGGUAUGGCCGUU